rnacentral:rRNA from 1 species
UAACGCUGAGGUGUGAUGACGAGGCACUACGGUGCUGAAGUGACAAAUGCCCUGCUUCCAGGAAAAGCCUCUAAGCAUCAGGUAACAUCAAAUCGUACCCCAAACCGACACAGGUGGUCAGGUAGAGAAUACCAAGGCGCUUGAGAGAACUCGGGUGAAGGAACUAGGCAAAAUGGUGCCGUAACUUCGGGAGAAGGCACGCUGAUGGUAGGUGAAGUGACUUGCUCAUGGAGCUGAAAUCAGUCGAAGAUACCAGCUGGCUGCAACUGUUUAUUAAAAACACAGCACUGUGCAAACACGAAAGUGGACGUAUACGGUGUGACGCCUGCCCGGUGCCGGAAGGUUAAUUGAUGGGGUUAUCCGUAAGGAGAAGCUCUUGAUCGAAGCCCCGGUAAACGGCGGCCGUAACUAUAACGGUCCUAAGGUAGCGAAAUUCCUUGUCGGGUAAGUUCCGACCUGCACGAAUGGCGUAAUGAUGGCCAGGCUGUCUCCACCCGAGACUCAGUGAAAUUGAACUCGCUGUGAAGAUGCAGUGUACCCGCGGCAAGACGGAAAGACCCCGUGAACCUUUACUAUAGCUUGACACUGAACACUGGUCCUUGAUGUGUAGGAUAGGUGGGAGGCUUUGAAGUGUGGACGCCAGUCUGCAUGGAGCCAUCCUUGAAAUACCACCCUUUAAUGGCUGGUGUUCUAACGUGGGCCCGUAAUCCGGGUUGCGGACAGUGUCUGGUGGGUAGUUUGACUGGGGCGGUCUCCUCCUAAAGAGUAACGGAGGAGCACGAAGGUCAGCUAAUCCUGGUCGGACAUCAGGAGGUUAGUGCAAUGGCAUAAGCUGGCUUGACUGCGAGCGUGACGGCGCGAGCAGGUGCGAAAGCAGGUCAUAGUGAUCCGGUGGUUCUGAAUGGAAGGGCCAUCGCUCAACGGAUAAAAGGUACUCCGGGGAUAACAGGCUGAUACCGCCCAAGAGUUCAUAUCGACGGCGGUGUUUGGCACCUCGAUGUCGGCUCAUCACAUCCUGGGGCUGAAGUAGGUCCCAAGGGUAUGGCUGUUCGCCAUUUAAAGUGGUACGCGAGCUGGGUUUAGAACGUCGUGAGACAGUUCGGUCCCUAUCUGCCGUGGGCGCUGGAGAAUUGAGGGGGGCUGCUCCUAGUACGAGAGGACCGGAGUGGACGCAUCACUGGUGUUCGGGUUGUCAUGCCAAUGGCAUUGCCCGGUAGCUAAAUGCGGAAGAGAUAAGUGCUGAAAGCAUCUAAGCACGAAACUUGCCCCGAGAUGAGUUCUCCCUGACCCUUUAAGGGUCCUGAAGGAACGUUGAAGACGACGACGUUGAUAGGCCGGGUGUGUAAGCGCAGCGAUGCGUUGAGCUAACCGGUACUAAUGAACCGUGAGGCUUAACCUUACAACGCCGAAG